AGUUUAUUGUUGCACAGCAGCAAAAGAAAAUCCUGCUCCUGUGCAAAACUAUCACGACGUGAUCGUGAAAAAAUUUCUCUCCGUUGAUGAUGAUGAAACUGGAUUUAAAAUGCUUAUACCAACAGAUAAGCCGGAGGAGCCGUAUCUAAUAUAAACAAACUUUUGAAGACCAAUGAUCAAUUCUCUAUCAGCUUGACUUUGAACCUAAUAGAUUCGUAUCAGUCUGCUGCUUCCGAUGUUGACGCCAUGAUAAGAGCUGCCCUUUUAGCCAUUCUCAGCGAAGCUGGAUGCAACGCGAUACAUUGGCGAAAAACAGCAAAUCUAACUGGAUUGAAAAACAUGUCGCAUGUAUUGGCAGUGUUAAAAGUCGCAGUUGAUGCAUACUAAUUGAGGAAAGAAAAAAAUUAUAAAAGUGCAUUGAUGGCCAGUUUACAAACGGAUUUGUAACCCGAUUAUUUACACAGUUUAAAUAAGGGUUUAAAAACCAUUUUUAACACAGUUUAUUUCCCCAAAGCGGAGGUUUAUGAAUGGUUGUCUGAAACUGGCUUCUAGACCUCAAACGGCAUCCUCAAACCCGUUGUAAAUAGCCGUCCAAGUCGGAAGCCACGUUGUAGGGUAGCCAGUGAUGCUUUGGGAAAGACGUAAUCCGGCCUAAACAACUCAGGCUUAAGUCAACAAUUGGCUUUCGAUUUGUUUUCAACGCUCGAAAUAACAUGUCGAGCCCAUCUAUUUGAACGAUAACAACUACGUUCCCAAUACCAUCGAGUAAGACUCUCAAUGCACUUAAACUGUGGAUGGAAACAGUAGCAUUUGAGAAGUUACAUUGGUAGAUUAAUUCUUUAAUCUUAUUGAUGUUUUCAUUGCGAUUCAUUGUAAAAAAAAAUAAUUUCCAACACUUAAAUUCUUACGUGCUCUCGUCUAUGGCUAUGAUUUUAAAAACAAACAUUUGAGAUGUUGCAUUUUAAGUUGAAAUGAAUCAUCUCCAGUAAAUAUUUAUUUUUUCUUAUCACCAUGUAGCAUCUUUUAUUGUAUCUAUGUUGGAAUAUUUAUUAAUUUUUCUCUUUUUUUUAUUUUAUGAAAAUAUGGAGCUACUCGAGUUUCGUCCAGGGUCUCGACAUUCCCAUAGCCUUCUACAGUUACGGCCACGCAGCACAGAUUCACCCGGGUGUCAAUUUUGUUCGAGCCAUCCACCCACCCUCAGCUGCCUAUACCUAGGUCACAUGCGUUGCCAUUUUACGAAAGUCACAUUUUAAAUUCCUGUUUCCGCAAAAUUUUCAUUUUUCAUUUAUUUCAGCCAUGGCCACCACGUUAUAAUUAUAGUACAGUCAAUCUGUAAAAAAACGCAUCAAAUCUGAAACUGCGUGUUAAUUUCGAUUUUCUUAUACCAAAAUAAAGGUAAUUUUUAGGAGAAUCUG